GCUUUAUACCACCCUGAGCAUGCCCAAGCUCAUCUGAUCUCAAAACCUAAGCAGGGUCAGGCCUGCUUAAUACUUGGAUGGGGGAACCACCUUGGCAUACCAGGUGCU
rnacentral:rRNA from 1 species